CCCUCCUCCUGCUCCUCCUCCUGUGCAUUUGACAGUGAGCGCUCCUCCACGCCAAGCAGCACCGAUCCAGGUGAGCAGCCCCCUCUUGAACCUUUUGUUUUCUUCUUCAGCGUUCCACAUACCAUUUUUUGUUUUGUUUCUGUGUGUUGAUAAGAGUAGAAUCCAGCGAGCUAUUUUAGCUUACAGCAAGCCUUCUUUUUUGAAGAGAAAGAUCGGGGGAAAUUCAGCAAAGCUGAGGAAGACAGAACUAGAGCAGAGAGGAAGCGGGACAGAACACUCUGUUAUGAGGAUGUGAAGUAGCUAGGUGGUGAAUAUGAUUUGGUCUUUUCAUGUACUGCUUCCAGACUCGUCUAAAUUAAUAAAAAGAGGGACAUCUCUUUCAUGUUUCAACUGCAUCAUUUUUCUCUCGGUUCAGUUCCAUAUGUGAAUAAAUCUCGACUGAAUAUCCCAGUGUAUAUUUCACGACAUAUAUAUUGAGUAAAGUAACGCGUGCAUGAUUUCUACUCAAAAGUAAAGUACCAUUUUAGUAAUUGCAAAGGCAUAUUGAAAUUGAAACUUUUUAGCUUUAUUUUCACUUCAUGGCUAUUCAUUCAUAAAGUUCGUCUAACUCGCUGAUUGCUUAAGUAACCAUUCAAACUGAUUUCAUGCCAACUUUUGGUGGAAACAUAGUGUACUCUGACUGCAAAUUUACUUCCAAAACUCCAGUUGCAUCUAUAAUGCUAAUUGCGUCCAAUGCUUGCUCACAGGACGAUGUCCAAACUCUAACCGCCAUGAAC
rnacentral:lncRNA from 1 species